rnacentral:rRNA from 1 species
GAUGAACGCUGGCGGCGUGCCUAAUACAUGCAAGUCGAGCGAACAGACGAGGAGCUUGCUCCUCUGACGUUAGCGGCGGACGGGUGAGUAACACGUGGAUAACCUACCUAUAAGACUGGGAUAACUUCGGGAAACCGGAGCUAAUACCGGAUAAUAUAUUGAACCGCAUGGUUCAAUAGUGAAAGACGGUUUUGCUGUCACUUAUAGAUGGAUCCGCGCCGCAUUAGCUAGUUGGUAAGGUAACGGCUUACCAAGGCAACGAUGCGUAGCCGACCUGAGAGGGUGAUCGGCCACACUGGAACUGAGACACGGUCCAGACUCCUACGGGAGGCAGCAGUAGGGAAUCUGCCGCAAUGGGCGAAAGCCUUACGCAGCAACGCCGCGUGAGUGAUGAAGGUCUUCGGAUCGUAAAACUCUGUUAUUAGGGAAGAACAAAUGUGUAAGUAACUAUGCACGUCUUGACGGUACCUAAUCAGAAAGCCACGGCUAACUACGUG